UACGUAGGGUGCAAGCGUUGUCCGGAAUUAUUGGGCGUAAAGAGCUCGUAGGCGGUUUGUCGCGUCGGCUGUGAAAACUCGGGGCUCAACCCCGAGCCUGCAGUCGAUACGGGCAGACUAGAGUGCUGUAGGGGAGACUGGAAUUCCUGGUGUAGCGGUGAAAUGCGCAGAUAUCAGGAGGAACACCGGUGGCGAAGGCGGGUCUCUGGGCAUGAUCUGACGCUGAGGAGCGAAAGUGUGGGGAGCGAACAGG
rnacentral:rRNA from 1 species